AAGUAGAUUUGUUAGGUGAGGCUCCUAUAUAAACAUAGGCUGCUGCCAAAAAAACGUCGAGAGACACCAAUUGGUAGAACAGGGAUUGUCGAUACAAGGCUUUCUUUAAAGCAGCUAAAAGAUAUUCUUUUUACGUUAUAUAGUGCCAAAACUCAACGAAUAAAUCGUUAA
rnacentral:sRNA from 2 species